rnacentral:rRNA from 1 species
GAUGAACGCUGGCGGCGUGCCUAAUACAUGCAAGUCGAGCGAACAGACGAGGAGCUUGCUCCUCUGACGUUAGCGGCGGACGGGUGAGUAACACGUGGAUAACCUACCUAUAAGACUGGGAUAACUUCGGGAAACCGGAGCUAAUACCGGAUAACAUGUUGAACCGCAUGGUUCAACAGUGAAAGACGGUCUUGCUGUCACUUAUAGAUGGAUCCGCGCCGCAUUAGCUAGUUGGUAAGGUAACGGCUUACCAAGGCAACGAUGCGUAGCCGACCUGAGAGGGUGAUCGGCCACACUGGAACUGAGACACGGUCCAGACUCCUACGGGAGGCAGCAGUAGGGAAUCUUCCGCAAUGGGCGAAAGCCUGACGGAGCAACGCCGCGUGAGUGAAGAAGGUCUUCGGAUCGUAAAACUCUGUUAUUAGGGAAGAACAAAUGUGUAAGUAACGAUGCACGUCUUGACGGUACCUAAGCAGAAAGCCACGGCUAACUACGU